rnacentral:rRNA from 1 species
GACAGAGGGGGCAAGCGUUGCUCGGAAUUACUGGGCGUAAAGGGCGCGUAGGCGGGAUGGCAAGUCGGUCGUGAAAUCCCUCGGCUCAACUGAGGAUCGUCGAUCGAUACUGCCGUUCUUGAGGAUUGCAGAGGAGACUGGAAUUCCCGGUGUAGCGGUGAAAUGUGUAGAGAUCGGGAGGAACGACCGGUGGCGAAGGCGGGUCUCUGGGCAAUUCCUGACGCUGAGGCGCGAAAGCGUGGGGAGCAAACGGG